UGUUUGUUGUUGGUGGUCAGCUUUUUUUUUUUUUUUUUUUUUUUUCUUCUUCUUCCAACGUUG
rnacentral:ribozyme from 14 species